AUGAAUAUAUAGUCAAGAUGUAUAUUAGUUAGGGCUGGAUUUGAAUAUAGUUCACAUGUGUUUAUAUCUGCUCUAGUUUCAGAGCAUAUUUAGUGUUUACGAGAUGCGGAAAUUAUUCUUAACAAUCCUAUAUCUUGGAGUUCAUUCUUCCAGCGCUACACCCCCAGGUUCCAGUGUGGUGGAUGGUGUAAGCCUAUUGGUGGCUCCUACCCCAGUCCUAGAGGAUGGUGUAGAUGAGGGAGGGAAUAUAACCUGGCCUGAUGGAGGAUAUUAUUCGGUAAGUUCUUAAAGGGA